GUCGUAACAAGGUUUCCGUAGGUGAACCUGCGGAAGGAUCAUUACCACACCUAAAGAGAAGGAGGAAGAAGACGACGACGUCUUCUCUUCCCACUCGAAAACAAACAAGAGUGGAAGCUUGUCGUGUGUUCGAGCACGGUGAGUGGAAGCUUCUUGUUGUCCCGAGAACCUGUGAAGGAGCCAAGAAUUCUGAGAUGUGAGAGCAUCUCCGCUAGUAUUGGUUGUGCCAUGUGUGAUAUCAGAGUAGUUUCGACUGCUGGGAUAUUGUACGGUACUGCAAACAAAGAAGAAGUAGAUGUAGAAGCCAGUAAAGUGGAUCUUUGUGUUGUCACUGGACCAUGUAAACUUGUAUUACAAGGAAAAAUGUCAAACAAUCACUUUCAGCAACGAAUGUCUAGGUUCCCAUAACGAUGAAGAACGCAGC
rnacentral:misc_RNA from 1 species